rnacentral:rRNA from 1 species
AUGCAUAUGGAGAUCCAUGGUGAACCAGUUGUGGAUGUUGCUGUGGCCAUGCAGAAUGCUGCUACUCGGUGCUUGGAGCUUCUUCAAGACACCAUGAGUAUUGGAUUUGAUUGCCCUCAAAUGCAAAAGAUUAAGACCGAGAUGAAGUACCUUUCAAGCAGUGUCGCUGAGAAGAAUCAAAAUAUAAAGGAUCUGAAGACUAAGGUGGAGAAAAAGGACCACCAGGUCAAGGCCCUUGGCAGGGGUUGGGGUUCAUUUGGAGACGAUGUGCUUGGUUUCGCAGGUCGUACUGAUAAAGUGGCUGUCAAUUAG